AUUGAACGCUGGCGGCAGGCUUAACACAUGCAAGUCGAACGGUAACAGGAAGAAAGCUUGCUUUCUUUGCUGACGAGUGGCGGACGGGUGAGUAAUGCUUGGGAAUCUGUUUCAUGGAGGGGGAUAACUACGGGAAACUGUAGCUAAUACCGCGUAAUAUCGAGAGAUUAAAUGUGUGGGACCGCAAGGCCACAUGCCAUGAAGUGAGCCCAAGUGGGAUUAGAUAGUUGGUGAGGUAAUGGCUCACCAAGUCGGCGAUCUCUAGCUGGUCUGAGAGGAUGACCAGCCACACUGGGACUGAGACACGGCCCAGACUCCUACGGGAGGCAGCAGUGGGGAAUAUUGCACAAUGGGCGCAAGCCUGAUGCAGCCAUGCCGCGUGAAUGAAGAAGGCCUUCGGGUUGUAAAGUUCUUUCGGUGGUGAGGAAGGUUGACGUGUUAAUAGCACGUUGAUUUGACGUUAGCCACAGAAGAAGCACCGGCUAACUCCGUGCCAGCAGCCGCGGUAAUACGGAGGGUGCGAGCGUUAAUCGGAAUAACUGGGCGUAAAGGGCACGCAGGCGGUGACUUAAGUGAGGUGUGAAAGCCCUGGGCUUAACCUAGGAAUUGCAUUUCAUACUGGGUCGCUAGAGUAUUUUAGGGAGGGGUAGAAUUCCACGUGUAGCGGUGAAAUGCGUAGAGAUGUGGAGGAAUACCGAAGGCGAAGGCAGCCCCUUGGGGAUAUACUGACGCUCAUGUGCGAAAGCGUGGGGAGCAAACAGG
rnacentral:rRNA from 1 species